GCGGCGGUCGCAUAGCCUGGCCAUUGCGCUGGAUUGCUAAUCCAGUGGGAUUCGUCCCACGGGGGUUCGAAUCCCCCUCGCCGCGCCA
rnacentral:tRNA from 1 species